GCGAUAUUCAAUGCGGUCUCCACCUUAUCGCCGGUCAGCACCCAAAUCUUGAUGCCAGCUGCCUGCAGAGAUACCAGAGUAUCGGCCACAUCGUCCUGUAGAGCAUCCUCCACAGCUGUAGCGCCCAGUGUUUACUUACCACUUUCAAUCCUUGAAUAGCAUUCCUCGCUUAGCUGCUUACGAUUCUCCAGCGAACUAUUGGCCUGAGCCAGAGAGUUGACGAACUCCAGAUACUCUACCUCCGAGAUCUCUCUUCUAGCUAUGGCCAAGGUGCGAAGACCCAAGCGGGCAAAGUCACUGAUGUGAUUGUCCGUUUUGGAAACCAUAUCGGCCGAGCUAUUUGCGCACAGUGGGAACACAUAGCUCUCGGCACCCUUUGUGUAGAUCCACUUCUUGCCCCCCUCAUCUCGAACAAUCACACUCAUGCGUUUCCGAUCCGAGGUGAACUCCAGCACAUGCAGACGAUGGAAGGCAUCCUCUUUGGGUUUACUGCUAUUUAUCGGACGCUUAUAGUCCAAAUGGGGCGGCACAAUUCUCACCCGCAGCACCUCGUCAUCGUCGCCCGUGUAGACGAGUCCCAAGUUGGCGCAGGCUUCCACCAGGGCCUUCUCAUCGGGACUGGAGGCCUGGUAGUCCAGCAAGCUAAGAGAUAGAGAACUGAUGGAAUCGGUGAAACAGCCGGAUCUAAAGGAUGCAUUUGCUCUCUGGGAGCAAUAGAGACAACUGGAACAAUUGAAAUAGUAAUCAAGAAUCAAUGGGAAAAGUUGGAACAGUUGUUGUACCACUUUGCCUAU